AGUGAACGCUGGCGGUAGGCCUAACACAUGCAAGUCGAACGGCAGCACAGUAAGAGCUUGCUCUUACGGGUGGCGAGUGGCGGACGGGUGAGGAAUACAUCGGAAUCUACUUUUUCGUGGGGGAUAACGUAGGGAAACUUACGCUAAUACCGCAUACGACCUACGGGUGAAAGCAGGGGAUCUUCGGACCUUGCGCGAUUGAAUGAGCCGAUGUCGGAUUAGCUAGUUGGCGGGGUAAAGGCCCACCAAGGCGACGAUCCGUAGCUGGUCUGAGAGGAUGAUCAGCCACACUGGAACUGAGACACGGUCCAGACUCCUACGGGAGGCAGCAGUGGGGAAUAUUGGACAAUGGGCGCAAGCCUGAUCCAGCCAUGCCGCGUGGGUGAAGAAGGCCUUCGGGUUGUAAAGCCCUGUUGUUGGGAAAGAAAAGCAGCAGGUUAAUACCCCGCUGUUCUGACGGUACCCAAAGAAUAAGCACCGGCUAACUUCGUG
rnacentral:rRNA from 1 species